GCCUUGGGGCAAUGUUGUCCUUACGAAGCGUGUCAGGUCCGGAAGGAAGCAGCACUAAGUUUGGUUUGGCAUGUGCUCCUUGUUAUGA
rnacentral:SRP_RNA from 1 species